UAGCACAGCAGCGCGAGGGAUGACCAGUGCGGGCCUCUUUGAUUCUGAGACCGAAGGCUGGGCCUCGGGCCCUCUCCAUUUGUCCCUUGUUGCCCUUCCUUCAUGAUUCAAUCAAUUAAUUAGGACUUUUCCUACCAGCCGGCAGCUCAGAGCUCCGUGUUCCCAGGCCUCUGAGUUACAGUUCCUGCCUUCAUGAAACUAGGAGUUGAGGUUCUAUUCCUUCGGGACUGUUUCAUUUCUCAGUCCCUCAAACCCUUAGUGGAUGAGCAUGGAGUUAGGACAGUGGUUCUCAACUGCAGCAGUUUUGCCUCCCAGGAGACAGCUGGCAAUGUAUGGAGCAUUUUCAACCUCUCUUCUGGGGGAGAGGUGCCAUUGGAAUCUCCAGAUGGUGGAGGGCACAGGUUCACUUGGCAAUGAGGAGCCCAAGAUAACCCGGAGACAGUCUCAACUUCUGAUUUAAUGGAACCAUUGGUGCUUAGAGGGUCCAGGGCUAACCCAGGGCCACUUUAACACUGUAGCUGCAGGCUUUGGAAAUCAUCAGCUGACGUGCAUUUGGCCAGAAUACCCAGUGGGCUCUGAAUUCCCACUUUUGCUUAGAUUUUGGCCUGUGAUUUUACCGG